rnacentral:rRNA from 1 species
GUAGGGAAUCUUCCACAAUGGGACGCAAGUCUGAUGGAGCAACGCCGCGUGAGUGAAGAAGGUCUUCGGAUCGUAAAACUCUGUUGUUAGAGAAGAACACGAGUGAGAGUAACUGUUCAUUCGAUGACGGUAUCUAACCAGCAAGUCACGGCUAACUACGUGUCAG